AGGACCUAGCGUAGUUCGGAAUUACUGGGCUUAAAGAGUUCGUAGGUGGUUAAAAUAGUUGGUGGUGAAAUCCCAGAGCUUAACUCUGGAACUGCCAUCAAAACUUUUUAGCUAGAGUAUGAUAGAGGAAAGUAGAAUUUCUAGUGUAGAGGUGAAAUUCGUAGAUAUUAGAAAGAAUACCAAUUGCGAAGGCAGCUUUCUGGAUCAUUACUGACACUGAGGAACGAAAGCAUGGGUAGCGAAGAGGAUUAGAUACCCUCGUAGUCCAUGCCGUAAACGAUGUGUGCUAGACGUUGGAAAUUUUAUUUUCAGUGUCGCAGCAAAAGCGAUAAGCACACCGCCUGGGGAGUACGACCGCAAGGUUAAAACUCAAAUGAAUUGACGGGGACCCGCACAAGUAGUGGAGCAUGUGGUUUAAUUCGAAGAUACGCGCAGAACCUUACCAACACUUGACAUGUUCGUCGCGACUCUAAGAGAUUAGAGUUUUCGGUUCGGCCGGACGAAACACAGGUGCUGCAUGGCUGUCGUCAGCUCGUGUCGUGAGAUGUUGGGUUAAGUCCCGCAACGAGCGCAACCCUCACUUUUAGUUGCUACCAUUUAGUUGGGCACUCUGAAAGAACUGCCAGUGAUAAGCUGGAGGAAGGUGGGGAUGACGUCAAGUCCUCAUGGCCCUUACGUGUUGGGCUACACACGUGCUACAAUGGCAUCUACAACAGGAAGCAAGAAUGUGAAUUUAAGCAAAUCCCUAAAAGAUGCCUCAGUUCGGAUUGUACUCUGCAACUCGAGUACAUGAAGCUGGAAUUACUAGUAAUCGCGGAUCAGCGUGCCGCGGUGAAUACGUUCCCGGGUCUUGCACACACCGCCCGUC
rnacentral:rRNA from 1 species